rnacentral:rRNA from 1 species
AUUAAGCACUCCGCCUGGGAGUACGGCGCAAGUUGAACUCAAGAAUUGACGGACCCCGAACAAGCGGUGGAGCAUGUGGAUAAUUCGUCACUAACCGAAGAACUUACCCAGGUUUGACAUCGAGGGCAAGGCCAUGAAAGUGGUCCCUCUAGCAAUAGACCCGAAGACAGGUGUUGCAUGGCUGUCGUCAGCUCGUGUCGUGAGAUGUUGGGUUAAGUCCCGCAACGAGCGCAACCCUCACCGUAUGUUGCCAGCGUAAAGUCGGGAACUCUUACGGAACUGCCCGUGCAAGCGGGAGGAAGGUGGGGAUGACGUCAAGUCGGCAUGGCCCUUACACCUGGGGCUUCACACAUGCUACAAUGGGCGUCAACAGAGGGGUGCGAGGCCGCGAGGUCAAGCGAAUCCCAAAAAUACGUCCUCAGUUCGGAUUGCAGGCUGCAACUCGCCUGCAUGAAGCUGGAAUCGCUAGUAACCGCAGGUCAGCUAUACUGCGGUGAAUACGUUCCCGGGGUUUGUACACACCGCCCGUCAAGUCACCUGAAUUGUCUGCACCCGAAGCCGGUGGCCUAACCGUAAGGAAGGAGCCGUCUAAGGUGUGGGGAGUAAGGGGGACUAAGUCGUAACAAGGU